AAAUAGGUGGUUCAGGGUUAAGUUGUAUCGCAUCAGAAGUGAUGGAAAAGGUUAAUGCGAUACAGACUGGCCACGCAGGCGCAGAUGGUAUUGGUAAAACACAGCGCGAGCCUUCAAAUGUUGUUGUUGAGCCGCUCACAGCUUCCCAUUUCAUCUAUUCUGUCAAAAAAGCAACCAACUGUGAUCACCGCCGUGAAUAAAGCCACAGUUGACAACGGUAACGGUCUCCAGCUAAGAUGGAAAAGACCAUGAGUUGACAAGGUUUGAGUACAGUUUUUUCACAGUAUCAGAAUUCCAGGGCAGUCCUCCUCCCGUCUGAAGAUAUGUUAACGGUGGUGUAGCCACAGAUGGGUGUGUGGAGACUGUGAAGAUGGAAUUUGCCAGUGCUCUACAGCUCCAGCCCUUAACCCUCUGCACAAUGUUUACAAUGUUGUGGAUCAGUAAUAUACAUUUAGCUGAUGUUUCAACUAAUAUGACUUGCAUGCAGUUAAUACAUACUGCUUUCAGUCCCUGAAGCAAUGUGGGUACCAACAACACAAGAAGCAGCCCCAUGUACAGGCAUGUCAUGAGUCGU